CACUUUGAUCGAUUUCUUCGGAUUGAAAUUUUAGUGACUGAGCUGGCGGACGGGUGAGUAACGCGUGGGUAACCUGCCUCACACAGGGGGAUAACAGUUGGAAACGGCUGCUAAUACCGCAUAAGCGCACAGUACCGCAUGGUACAGUGUGAAAAACUCUGGUGGUGUGAGAUGGACCCGCGUCUGAUUAGCUAGUUGGCAGGGCAACGGCCUACCAAGGCGACGAUCAGUAGCCGACCUGAGAGGGUGACCGGCCACAUUGGGACUGAGACACGGCCCAAACUCCUACGGGAGGCAGCAGUGGGGAAUAUUGCACAAUGGGGGAAACCCUGAUGCAGCGACGCCGCGUGAGCGAAGAAGUAUUUCGGUAUGUAAAGCUCUAUCAGCAGGGAAGAAGAAAUGACGGUACCUGACUAAGAAGCACCGGCUAAAUACGUGCCAGCAGCCGCGGUAAUACGUAUGGUGCAAGCGCUAUCCGGAUUUACUGGGUGUAAAGGGAGCGCAGGCGGAAGGCUAAGUCUGAUGUGAAAGCCCGGGGCUCAACCCCGGUACUGCAUUGGAAACUGGUCAUCUAGAGUGUCGGAGGGGUAAGUGGAAUUCCUAGUGUAGCGGUGAAAUGCGUAGAUAUUAGGAGGCACACCAGUGGCGAAGGCGGCUUACUGGACGAUAACUGACGCUGAGGCUC
rnacentral:rRNA from 1 species